rfam:Nicotiana attenuata strain TT chromosome 3, whole genome shotgun sequence.
GUGCUUGUAGCUCAGUAGAUAGGGCGUUUAUUUCCUAAGCUGAAGGUCGCAGGUUCGACCCCUACCUGGCGCG